rnacentral:rRNA from 1 species
UAGAGGAAGUAAAAGUCGUAACAAGGUUUCCGUAGGUGAACCUGCGGAAGGAUCAUUAAAUGAAGCAACCUAGGAGCCUGAGAUAUGGCCACCGGGCACACCUUCCACCCUUUGUUUAUCACACUUUGUUGCUUUGGCAGGCCUGCCUUCGGGCUGCUGGCUCCGGCCGGCGAGCGCCUGCCAGAGGACCCAAACUCUGUUUGUCUGUAACGUCUGAGUACUAUAUAAUAGUUAAAACUUUCAACAACGGAUCUCUUGGUUCUGGCAUCGAUGAAGAACGCAGCGAAAUGCGAUAAGUAAUGUGAAUUGCAGAAUUCAGUGAAUCAUCGAAUCUUUGAACGCACAUUGCGCCCCCUGGUAUUCCGGGGGGCAUGCCUGUCCGAGCGUCAUUACAACCCUCAAGCCUAGCUUGGUGUUGGGCUCCGCCGCCUGGCGGGCCCUAAAGUCAGUGGCGGUGCCGUCCAGCUCCGAGCGUAGUAACUCUUCUCGCUCUGGAGGCCUGGGCGCGUGCUUGCCAGCAACCCCCCAAUUUUAUCAGGUUGACCUCGGAUCAGGUAGGGAUACCCGCUGAACUUAAGCAUAUCAAUA